UACGAAGGGUGCAAGCGUUGUUCGGAAUCAUUGGGCGUAAAGCGCGCGCAGGCGGAUCAGCAAGUCAGAUGUGAAAUCUCGGGGCUCAACCUCGAAACUGCGUCUGAAACUGCUAGUCUAGAAUGUCGGAGGGGGCAGGGGAAUUUCACGUGUAGGAGUAAAAUCCGUAGAGAUGUGAAGGAACACCGGGGGCGAAGGCGCCUGCCUGGACGACUAUUGACGCUGAGGCGCGAAAGCGUGGGGAGCAAACAGG
rnacentral:rRNA from 1 species